AAGUGUCACCGCGAUGCCACGUCCAGUCUGAGCCAUUCCUCGCCCAUGUCCCUGUCCUUGUUGCAUAGCCGGCCUCCAGCGUGUGGCUUCGUGCAGCGACCAGACCGUCGUGUGACUUUCUGCCACGGUUGCUGGGGUUGGCACUGGGGCAGACCUGCUGGGGGGUUCUGGGUUGCAGCUGGAGCGCUGGGACUGGCAGGACGCCUCUCUUCGUGCUGCCCCAGGGCCCAUCCACGUCGACUCCCGGCGUGAAGCGUGUGGGCUGCCUCACAGCCUGGCAGCUCCAGGACUGCUGGGGGCUCCCCCCGCGGCCCCGGCUCUGCUGGCAGCACUGGGCCAGAAGCAACUCACCUUCACACAGCCGCCCUGAAGGCACGUAGGUUCCGGAAGGGAACCUUGGGAAAUGGGAUUCGUGCCAUACUCAUGGGAGUCCCAAGCUCCCUCGCCCAUUUCACUCCAUGAGGAUAGGAGGGGACAGCUGCUGACGACCUGGCAGAGACCCUGCGCCAGGCCCCACCCCACCGGCACCCUGAUCUUGCACUUCCGGCCUCGAGAAUGCCCCCGCCCGGGAGGGUCUGAGCCAGGCAGCCUCCCCGGGAGCCGGUGCUGACACGGCCAGAGAAACCAUUCCAGACCCGGACCCCACUGUCCCCAACACCUGCGGGCCAGUGACUCAGGGCGGUGGAGAGAGCCAAGAGGAAGUGGAGGCUGAGUGGCCCUCCCCGGGGCUGGGGCCCGCCGUCUGGUUGUGUCUCCAGCCGCUGGUUUAGGGGAAUCGGGAGGGCUCACUUAAGCAUCCCUUCCCUGCGUGCUCUUCCAUCGCGGGACAGAAGACCCGACUGCUGCCAGCACCAAAGGGUGUUCCCACGGCACACGCCGCUUGGGCUCGGGCAGGCAGGGACCCCUCCUCGUGCCUCGGGAGCCUGGAGCUGUCGGCCCUGCAGCUGAGGACCACAGGAGGUCAGGGACAUGCAAGCUCAGUGCCCGAAGUCACUUCUAG
rnacentral:lncRNA from 1 species